UACGGAGGGGGCGAGCGUUAAUCGGAAUUACUGGGCGUAAAGCGUACGUAGGCGGCUUGUUAAGCAAGAUGUGAAAUCCCCGGGCUCAACCUGGGAAUGGCAUUUUGAACUGGCAGGCUCGAGUUCUGAAGAGGGUGGUAGAAUUUCCAGUGUAGCGGUGAAAUGCGUAGAUAUUGGAAGGAAUACCGGUGGCGAAGGCGGCCACCUGGUCAGAAACUGACGCUGAGGUACGAAAGCGUGGGGAGCAAACAGG
rnacentral:rRNA from 1 species